UUAAGUGAUAAUUGCCUAGGAGAUACACCUGUUCUCAUGCCGAACACAGAAGUUAAGCCCUAGAACGCCGGAAGUAGUUGGGGGUUG
rnacentral:rRNA from 3 species